rnacentral:ncRNA from 1 species
GUCAAAGCCCCUUAUGAGGGUGAUGACGUGCUUUUUGUAGAACGAGCCAACGAGUUACGGUAUGUAGCAAGGUUAAGGACUUAAGGUCCGGAGCCGAAGGGAAACCAAGUCUUAAUAGGGCGACUAGUUGCAUGCUGUAGACCCGAAACCGGGUGACCUAUCCAUGGCCAGGUUGAAGCGAGGGUAAAACCUCGUGGAGGACCGAACCACGUUGCUGUUGAAAAAGCAUGGGAUGAGCUGUGGAUAGCGGAGAAAUUCCAAUCGAACUCGGAGAUAGCUGGUUCUCCUCGAAAUAGCUUUAGGGCUAGCGUCGCGAAAUGUAACUACUGGAGGUAGAGCACUGAAUGGGCUAGGGGGCAUAGCGCUUACCGAACCUUAUCAAACUCCGAAUGCCAGAUAGUGUUAGCGCGGCAGUCAGACUGCGAAUGAUAAGAUCCGUAGUCAAAAGGGAAACAGCCCAGAUCGUCAGCUAAGGUCCCAAAGUGUAAGUUAAGUGGGAAAGGAUGUGGGAUUUCUAAGACAACUAGGAUGUUGGCUUAGAAGCAGCCAUUCAUUGAAAGAGUGCGUAAUAGCUCACUAGUCGAGAGAUCCUGCGCCGAAAAUGUAACGGGGCUAAACUUACCACCGAAGCUACGGGUUCACACUUAGUGUGAGCGGUAGAGGAGCGUUGUAAUCGGGCUGAAGUCGUACCGUAAGGAGCGGUGGACUGAUUACAAGUGAGAAUGUUGGC